GUGCUUGCUUUGGCAGCACAUAUACUAAAAUUGGAACGACGCAGAGAAGAUUAGCAUGGCCCAUAUGCAAGGAUGACACGCAUAUUUGUGAAGCGUUCCAUAAAAAAUUUUU
ensembl:snRNA U6 U6 spliceosomal RNA